UGGGGAAUUUUCCGCAAUGGGGGCAACCCUGAUCCAGCCAUGCCGCGUGAGUGAAGAAGGCCCUAGGGUUGUAAAGCUCUUUCACCGGUGAAGAUCAUGACGGUAACCGGAGAAGAAGCCCCGGCUAACUACGUGCCAGCAGCCGCGGUAAUACGAAGGGGGCGAGCGUUGUUCGGAAUCACUGGGCGUAAAGGGCGCGUAGGCGGUUUGUCGCGUCAGGCGUGAAAGCCCCGGGCUCAACCUGGGAGGUGCGCUUGAUACGGGCAGACUAGAGGGUGCGAGAGGAGUGUGGAAUUCCCAGUGUAGAGGUGAAAUUCGUAGAUAUUGGGAAGAACACCGGUGGCGAAGGCGGCACUCUGGCGCAACCCUGACGCUGAGGCGCGAAAGCGUGGGGAGCAAACAGGAUUAGAUACCCGGGUAGUCC
rnacentral:rRNA from 1 species